UAUGAUGUUUAUAUGUGGCUGUGCUAAGCUGUAAAGACAACUGAAAAAGUGAAUAUUUAGCUCCUCUGACUUAUGCAUUGAGGAGUGAAAUUGGCAUCUUGCUCUGGUAGCAGAAGAGGGAAAAUAAGAAUUCAUUUUUAUAUGGAGAGGAGGUGGUGAUGCUUUGAUCUUCCUUGGACAAAAUUUAUGUAUAUAAUCCAACAGAACUUGGGUAAAAGUUGGGUAAUGGCAAGAAAGAUUGGUACUAGAUAAUUUAGAAAAUUUAGAAAGCCUGGUCACAGAGUGAGUCCCUGUUUGUUUUAUAGUUAGGAAAACUCUUUUCUACUUUACUAGCUGGAAAAGUAGAAUCUAAUUUCAGUAGACUAUUAUCUUUAUUCCUCUCUGGAUCAAGAUUAGUGCUUUUCAGUGCUGAGGCAGUCUAAACUCAGCAUGGCUAGAAAUGGUUUCUUUUGGAAAGCUAAAUGUUAAGAUACCUUGGGUGAUCUUUCAUGUUUUCCCAUGAUUUAUCUCAGGGGUCAAUACACUGCUCUUGGGGGGCCAAAUCUAGUAGGGUACCAACUAAAUCUGAC
rnacentral:lncRNA from 1 species